ensembl:lncRNA
CUGGCUUCUCAUUCAUUUUCUGUCUCCCCUCUUUUGAAGCCUGAUGCAAGGCUUUUGGACCACAUAGUCCACGAUCAAUAUUCGCUUUCUGCAUCUGUUUCUCAUACAUUCUCUCUCCUUGUUAUUUUUAUUCUCUUUUCUUCCACAGGUCUGUUUUCAGGCAGUCUUCCUCACCUCUUCAUUUCCUGUUUGCUUCCUUCCCUGUUCUCUCUAGUGAAAAAGAGCUGUGUGUUAGAAAAAAAGACCACAAGGGUGAUGAAGACAGAAGGAGUGGAAAUGGGAGAAGGGUUCAAGACAACAGACAAACACUGGAUACACUUUGCUUCAUUCUACUCCAUCAAACCAGUAGAAACGUCCAAGCUCCUGUCCUUCCUCUAUCAUCCAUCAGGGCAAUGUGAAACCUUGUGCUUGUUCUGUGAAUCAGCCUCUGCAGUGGUAUUAUUAACAGCAGCAAGAAGGUACCUCAUACAUGCAUCCUGAGUUAGCAAUGAGCUAGAUCAUUGUUGAGCUUAAUUACCUCAUCCCUGCUGGUUUGGAAAUCACCUGCACUGUGGGAGGGUCAAACAUUUUAUUUUUCACUCUUCCAUGAUUGAUAUAACCACUGUGCCUUGUUGUUAAAUACAUUCCUUUGUUUGGUGUGGAUGGAGACAAAUCUUAUCAUGGCAGUGGUGAAUACACAUGUGUUUUAACAGAUGCAUAACUGUUAUUGUUUCUUAAGAGCUAGUUUGGUAUUAAGGAUGGCAGGCUGAAACAUGAAGACAUUUGAGGCUGGGAAGAUGCCUUAGAUGUGUAAUACCCCAUUACAAUUUGAUUUAGAGGAGCCCUUUAGCAGAUGGUAUCACAACCAUGUAAUGAAUUUCCUUCAUGCCCUCCCUUGCUGCUUUUUUCUCUGAUCAAGAUGUCAGCUUCCCUGUGAGAUCAUGGCACUGUCACCUAGAAUAAUAAUGCCUUGGGUUCUUUUCUGCUUAAAGUCACUUGCUUGUUUAUUUAUCUGCUUCUUUUUAGUGCUGCUCUGAUUGUUGUUAUUUGUGUUAGAUGCAUGUAGUCUCUGAAUGGGAAUGAAACAGUUUGGCUUCUGUGAUGUUCGGCUCAAUCGUUUAGGAAAAUCAUUUGUUUCCCUACCUAGUUGCCUCUGGUUUCAUUAACAUGAGUUAGUCUUACGAUCCACUGAGCUUACAACCCAGUAAACAAAAAAGUUACACUCUCAGUAACUAAUGAUCCAGCUGGCCUUUUUAAUACUGCAAAUGAAUAUUCAGCUUGAUUAGCAGUGCAAGAUUAUGCUCCAGAACCACAGGGACCACCUUUUCCCUAAGGGGCUCAAGGAGGGUCAAAGCAGUAGAAGAAAGUGACCAGAAAACUUAAAAGAUACAACAUUCAGAUGGGAUUAUCCUGCCUGAGUUAAAUUUACUUCUGAAUAAGAUUUUUUUUCAGUAACCAGUGGCAAUUAAAAACAGUGACUUGUUUCUUGCCCUGAUGUUCAUUAGAGCGUGAUAAUUCAACUGUAGGCCACUUGGACUGUAAUAGGAAAAGAAGAGAGAAGGAAAAAUACAGUAGAGUUUUCCUGCUGCUGAUACAGAAUUGCUACAAAACAAAGAAACUGGAUUUGGUCUGGAACUACAAGUUCCAGUGAUAAGAUAAAUAAAAUAUAAUACUUUCAAAGCUUUAAAAAUGUU